rnacentral:rRNA from 1 species
GCAAGUCGAACGGUAACAGGAAUUAGCUUGCUAAUUUGCUGACGAGUGGCGCACGGGUGCGUAACGCGUAUACAAUCUACCUCUUACAGUGGGAUAGCCCAGAGAAAUUUGGAUUAAUACCGCAUAGUAUUAUGAAUUGGCAUCAGUUUAUAAUUAAAGUUUCGGCGGUAAGAGAUGAGUAUGCGUUCUAUUAGCUAGAUGGUGAGGUAACGGCUUACCAUGGCUACGAUAGAUAGGGGCCCUGAGAGGGGAAUC